UGGGGAAUUUUGGACAAUGGGCGAAAGCCUGAUCCAGCAAUGCCGCGUGUGUGAAGAAGGCCUUCGGGUUGUAAAGCACUUUUGUCCGGAAAGAAAUCCUUGGCUCUAAUACAGUCGGGGGAUGACGGUACCGGAAGAAUAAGCACCGGCUAACUACGUGCCAGCAGCCGCGGUAAUACGUAGGGUGCAAGCGUUAAUCGGAAUUACUGGGCGUAAAGCGUGCGCAGGCGGUUUGCUAAGACCGAUGUGAAAUCCCCGGGCUCAACCUGGGAACUGCAUUGGUGACUGGCAGGCUAGAGUAUGGCAGAGGGGGGUAGAAUUCCACGUGUAGCAGUGAAAUGCGUAGAGAUGUGGAGGAAUACCGAUGGCGAAGGCAGCCCCCUGGGCCAAUACUGACGCUCAUGCACGAAAGCGUGGGGAGCAAAACAGGAUUAGAUGCCCUGGUAGUCCACGCCCUAAACGAUGUCAACUAGUUGUUGGGGAUUCAUUUCCUUAGUAACGUAGCUAACGCGUGAAGUUGACCGCCUGGGGAGUACGGUCGCAAGAUUAAAACUUAAAUGAAUUGACGGGGUCAUAGCUGUUUCCU
rnacentral:rRNA from 1 species